AUGCACAAACCCUCUAGCUCUCCCAGACGAGUCACUAGUCAUAAAGAGUUUCCUUUUUCAUUCUUUCUAAAGAAGAUUAAUUAAUAUUAAAUCGGAGAAGCUAUGAAGAAGAGGCAGCAGCAACCGCAGGAAAAGGACAGCUCCAGGGAGCAUUGCAACCACCAAUACCACCAGCAGCAGAUGCAGAAGCAGAAGCAGAUACAAUGCAAUAAAGCCAAAGUCUGCAAGUUCAAGAGAAGCAGCUCCAAUCUUGAAGAUGAUGGUGCUUCCUCUGCUAUUCUCUUGCUCGCUUGUAUUGCCUGCACUCCCCCUUAUUGAUGCGCAAAUCUCUGAUAUUAAUUAAAUCAAAUCACCUAUAGAUAGUUCAAGUCUCUCUCCCUGUUUGUAAAAUAGUUUUAUCACUUCAUCACCCUUCUUUAUUACGACUAAUAUAGCUAGCAAUAGCAUAUAUUCUUUGUACUGGUAGCACGUACGCUCUUCCCUUCCUGAUAGGCUUAAUCCCAUCUUCUCUGCUGUAACCAGUAAUCUCUACCCCUAUCUUCAUCAGUAUCAAUCUGUUUAAUUCUACUGUGUUGCAACAAUGCACAUUGAUGUAUGAUCGAGCAUUUCGCUUCACAUUUCUAGUUCCAAUUCUAAUGGUACUCUUCUUCCAUUAAAGAAUCUGUUAAUUGUGCAAAUGGGAUUAAUAUUAAAUAAAAAAAAA
rnacentral:misc_RNA from 1 species